rnacentral:rRNA from 1 species
UACGUAGGGGGCGAGCGUUGUCCGGAUUUAUUGGGCGUAAAACGCUUGUAGGUGGCUACGUCAAGUCGGAUGUGAAAUCUCCAGGCUCAACCUGGAGGGGUCAUUCGAUACUGCCAUGACUAGAGGUCGGUAGGGGAGUGUGGAAUUCCUGGUGGAGCGGUGAAAUGCGCAGAUAUCAGGAGGAACACCCGUAGCGAAGGCGGCAUUCUGGGCCGAUUCUGACACUGAGGAGCGAAAGCGUGGGGAGCGAACAGG